rnacentral:rRNA from 1 species
CAGCAGCCGCGGGAACACGGAGGGGGCUAGCGUUGUUCGGAAUUACUGGGCGUAAAGCGCACGUAGGCGGCUUGGUAAGUUAGAGGUGAAAGCCUGGAGCUCAACUCCAGAAUUGCCUUUAAGACUGCCGAGCUAGCAGGUGAGAGAGGUAAGUGGAAUUCCGAGUGUAGAGGUGAAAUUCGUAGAUAUUCGGAAGAACACCAGUGGCGAAGGCGGCUUACUGGCUCAUACUGGACGCUGAGGUGCGAAAGCGUGGGGAGCAAACAGGAUUAGAUACCCGAGUAGUCCCUGUCUCUUAUAC